GAGGCCAGCCCUACCCACGCGAACCGCGCCGCCUCCCUAUUCCCCUUCCUCUCGUCCUCCUAACCCACAGGUUCUAGCCACCUCCAGAUCCGGCCACAGCCGGCCAUCCAGGAGGUGAGGAGCAGGACGUCCAGCCUUGGAGCUGAGAACAGGAGGAAUCCGAGGAGACAGAUGGAGAUGGAGUGGGGAAGAAGACAGGGUGAGGUAGGAGGAAGAGGAGGCUGUGGCGGCGCCCCGUGUUUGCCUUCUUCGUCAAACAUCCACAGAUGAAGGCCACGAUUUCAUCAACUAGUAAAAGGCUCAAGGGCUCGGCAUGUUGCAGGCCAAUGUGUUUCCUUCUCUUCACUAGAUCAGGUCCAAAGGGGGAAGCCAAAUGGCAGAGAUCUUGGUACCUAUGAAUUAUCAGCAAUGCUACUAUGAAUUAUAGUGGCAACCAGUCUGUACUAUAGAACAUAUCAUGAGCUUUUUACCCUUUUUAAUUUUUUCUAUUAUAAUAAAGUGUGGAACAAUGUCACAGCACAAAGAAGCCUAAGCUGUAGCAUGUACUCAUCAUGAACGAAGUUAAGAGUAUGUCUGCUGGUGAUAGAGGAGAAAGAAUGUUGGAAGUGAAUGAAGCCUCCACCAAUCAGCAGGGAGCCUUUGACUCGAGGAUCAUGAAACUGAUACGAAGAUGGCCUGACUGCUGAAGAAUAUGAAGCAAGAUUUAAUUGCUCAGUGGAGGCAACCGUACAGAAAUCGCAAGCUUUGGUGUUGGGGACCUCAGAACA